rnacentral:lncRNA from 1 species
UCAAUCAACAAGACAACAACUAUCUUCUUCCCCUUCAAAUUCACUUGCCACACCCUCAAUUAAUGAUAUAGGUUCCAUCUUCGUCUUCUCCAUCAGCAAAUCUUAGGUCUAAGGUUUUCUCGUUCUCAUAAUUCUCACUCCUCUCAAACCUUAGCUAGGGUUUCAUCUGCAAUUCAAUGUUAAUCACUUAGUUAGGUUGAUAAUUCCUCACUCCUCUCUAUACUCCAUUAUUUAUUAUCUUCUUCAUUCUUUUUGUUGUUAUCUCUUCACAGAUGAAUGGGGUUUCAGUUUCCAGCCACACAAAUUGCUCAACUCUUCACAAAUAAUUAGUGUGUUAUCUCUUCACAGAUAAUUGGGGUUAAUAAUAAGAACAAAUUGUUGAAUCUCUUACAGGUUAUUAUUCUCUCCCCUAACUAUAAUAUUCAAUUCAAUUUAUUGUGUGAAAAUUCUUAAAAAUUUUGUUGAAAAAACAGAUCUGACAGACCUUAUCAGACUGUUUUCUUGUUUUACACUUAGUCCCACAUGAGUUGUGGGAAGUGGGUAAAGAUGUUCAAAUACAAAAUUAUUACACUAAGGGUGUAGCCCUUUGGGUUAUCAAGUUUUCGCGCGAUAGCGCAAGGCUAUACACUUAGUUGUACACCACAACAGACGAUAGUCGUGUCUGUUGUGAACAGGCACGACUUACUCUAUAAAUUGAGUUUUGCUCUGGCCAGGCACACGAUUUAUUCAGACUAAGUCUGCUUCUCUCUCUCUCCAUAGAAAUUCGAAGUGUUCUUCUUGUUUGUUCGCCAGUAUUCUGCUAUUACAGUGCAAUCUAGCAGUUGUAUCUUGGGAGACUAUCGUCCAAUAUCCGUGUGCACCAGUAGCAGGGACGUAAUAUUGUCUUAAGGAUAUUGCUUCGGCAAGCCUUUGUUCAUCUCCUUAAUCAAUCAAGUUGUGUAGUAAGUGUUACUGUAUUCAUGAAUUCAUUUAAUAUAUUAUUAUUUGUUUACGGUUUGAAUUAGUAUAUUCUUUAUUUCUGUAAUUCGUGUAUGUUAUAUUCCUGAGUUCAUACAAUAUAAUCCCAACAAAUUUCAUAUCAUCAUUCCAAAAUCUCAGAUGGCAAAUUUUGUUUCAUUGAAACCCUAGUUUUUCAAAUACUGGAUUAAAUACUUAAAGACAUGUAGGUAUAAAUAUCAUGAAUGAACUAAGUUAUUUUUAAUAUUCAAUUCAGUUUAUUUGUUUUUUUUUUCUUUUGUUAGAUUGUGUACUUGAGUUCUGAUAAUUGGGCUUUCAUUGAUAAUUGGAUCUCACUAAUAAUUCUUUUUUCUUUAAGUUCAAUAAAGUUUAUGUCCUUAGUUAAAUGUUAGAAUGUGAUUGUUUACUGGGAACAAAUUAAUUAUAUAGGCCUAGAAUUGGAAGCCUACUUGUCUUGUAACAGAUUUUUGUCCUAGGCAUCUCUACUUCUAUUUUUGCAAAAUAAAUGCAAGAAGAUGAAUGUGUAUCUUCUACAUGAUGCAUUCAAGAGUACACACUACAGAAACAUGAAAGCAGUGUUGCAGAACACCACGACACUGUUGUGGAAUGACUUGACAAAACUGAACUGUAGGACUCCUGUUUUGUACUGGUGUACGUUGGGGUGAUAUUAGAAUUUGUUUACAAACAUUUUCUAUUUCUUUUCAAGCUCCUGCUACGAUAAAGUUUUAUAUAUUUUUCUCUUUGGAUAAUAGCUUUUGUUAAGUGUGCAUUUCUCUUGCUCCCAUUCGUUCCUGAAUUCUUUUGAACUUCUUGCUGCUCUGUAGGUCACAGUUGGCUCUUUUGUUUGAAUUCCUCAAUUUCUUGGAUAGGUGAUCAAAAAUAGUAACCAGUUUUGCGCCUUUGCUUUGGCGCAUUACUUUCUAAGUAAGAUUUUCUAUGCUAAGUACUAUAGUUUAACAUUUGGACUUAAAUAUUUUUUUUUUUUUGUUCUAGCUUAAAUAGUUAUUUAGAUCUUAUAAUCAGCCAUAUUACAAUUGAUUCUAUAUUUGGCCGUAUUAUUUUGUAUGUUGGGACAGUGGAUUGCUAUCACUUAUUUAUAUUUUUUUAGGAGGCAUAUAGUCUACUUUUUUGGUGUAAUAUGUAAUGCUCAUGGUAAAUAUGAAUGGAUAUUUUUAGUUGGCGCAUAACAACUUAUUAGUUCUUGAAUGAUGUUGGGAGGGAUUUUCUUAAAUUGAAGCUCCACAAGGAGACACUACACCGGAAAUGCUUGAGAGCAGUGGCUCAUGCAUUCUAAAAUCUAAACCAACUGGAAUCGGGAUAUCUGGUAUUCAUAUCUACUCAAUUGAUAAUUUCUUCAAUGAAGUAAAAGUUCAUAAUUUUAUAUUCUGAAUUCAUUACUAGUUUUUGUUUCAUCCAAUUUCAGAUCUUCAGUUUGUGAGAUGCCUUGUAUGCAAUCUUGAGGUUUGUUCAGAUUUACGGGUAGGUUUUACGCUAUUUUUCACUAGUAAUAGACCUACAAGCUUUCCUUCAAUGGAUUUUAAUACAUGAGAAUAAUGCAAGCCAAAAAUCUGACCAUCUAAUUUUCAAAGUUUAAAGUUUUAAAAAUUAAUUAAUCCUUUAGUUUGGUUGAUGUGUUUUUUCACUUGUAUGACAAUGUCUUUACUACAUUUUGCCCAAUAACCAUUAAGUGUUAACUUAUUUUCUAUAGUAAUAUUAUUAUUAACAUUAUUAUUUGCCGGGGAUGGGAUUGUGGUAAUGCUGAUUCUUAAGAUUGUAAUUAGAUGGAUUUGCUUAAAAAUAAAAUGGUUUAUGUUGUUCCACAUGUGGGUUAAAUUAAAAAUGAUUUAUGUUGUUGAACCGUGGUUGAUUCAGAUUUAUUACUAGUAAAAUGGUUUCUAGUAUAAGUAAUUUAUUUUUUUAUUUAUUACAGAUUGUGGAAGGAAGAUCAGCCUCAGUAUGAGAAUGACGAACUGUAAGUUUCUUGCUUUCUAACUGUUCUUUUUGUAAUUGCAUUUUCCAUUUCCAUUAGUGGUUUACCUCUGCCUCUCCUUCUAUGGGAUAGAAACUGAAAUUAGGAAACUGUCUUUUCAGUGCUUGGGUUGACAAUGUGGGGACUGUUACUUUUAUGUGUAUAAAUAUAUAUAGAUAAUGUGGUGACUGGUACUUUUGUAAGGUCUCACUACAGGCCUUGAACAUAAGAACCAUUUAGUUGGAUCGAAGUACUGAUAUUAUAUUUUUGUUUUUGAUCCAGGUAUUAUACUUUCGCUUUUUAUAAACUUUCUUUAUAAUGAGUUGUCAUGAACACUAGCUAUGGAUACUAUCUAUAUAUUCA